UACGGAGGGGGCUAGCGUUGUUCGGAAUUACUGGGCGUAAAGCGCACGUAGGCGGCUUUGCAAGUCAGAGGUGAAAGCCCGGGGCUCAACCCCGGAAUUGCCUUUGAGACUGCAUCGCUAGAAUUGUGGAGAGGUAAGUGGAAUUCCGAGUGUAGAGGUAAAAUUCGUAGAUAUUCGGAAGAACACCAGUGGCGAAGGCGACUUACUGGACACAUAUUGACGCUGAGGUGCGAAAGCGUGGGGAGCGAACAGG
rnacentral:rRNA from 1 species